UCAGUAACGGCGAGUGAAGCGGCAACAGCUCAAAUUUGAAAUCUGGCCCGCCCCGGGUCCGAGUUGUAAUCUGCAGGGGACGCUUCGGCGGUCGGCCCCGGUACAAGUUCCUUGGAACAGGACGUCGCAGAGGGUGAGAAUCCCGUACCCGACCGGGCGCCGCCGCCGCGGAAGCUCCUCCGACGAGUCGAGUUGUUUGGGAAUGCAGCUCUAAACGGGAGGUAAAUUUCUUCCAAAGCUAAAUACCGGCCAGAGACCGAUAGCGCACAAGUAGAGUGAUCGAAAGAUGAAAAGCACUUUGGAAAGAGAGUCAAACAGCACGUGAAAUUGUUGAAAGGGAAGCGCUCGCGACCAGACCCGCCCGCGGACGCUCCGCCGGCCCCUCGGGGCCGGCCCACUCGUCCGCGGGCAGGCCAGCGUCGGUCGGAGCGGCCGGGCAAAGGCCCCGGGAACGUGGCUCCCCCCCCGGGGGAGUGUUAUAGCCCGGGGCGGAAUCCGGCCAGCCCCGACCGAGGUCCGCGCGUCCCGCCAGGACGCUGGCGUAAUGGUCGCGAGCGGCCCGUCUUGAAACACGGACCAAGGAGUCUAACAACCACGCGAGCGUCUGGGCGUCAAACCCGCGCGCGCAAUGAAAGUGAACGGAGGUGGGAGCCCUCGGGCGCACCAUCGACCGAUCCCGAUGUCCUCGGAGGGAUUUGAGUAAGAGCGUGGCUGUUGGGACCCGAAAGAUGGUGAACUAUGCCUAGGUAGGGUGAAGCCAGAGGAAACUCUGGGGGGAGGCUCGCAGCGGGUUCUGACGUGCAAAUCGAUCGUCAAACCUGGGGUUUAGGGGCCAAAAGACUAAUCGAACCAUCUAGUAGCUGGUUCCUGCC
rnacentral:rRNA from 1 species